AUUGAACGCUGGCGGCAUGCCUUACACAUGCAAGUCGAACGGCAGCAUGGGUGCUUGCACCUGAUGGCGAGUGGCGAACGGGUGAGUAAUGCAUCGGAACGUACCCGGAAGUGGGGGAUAACGUAGCGAAAGUUACGCUAAUACCGCAUAUUCUGUGAGCAGGAAAGCGGGGGAUCGCAAGACCUCGCGCUUCCGGAGCGGCCGAUGUCGGAUUAGCUAGUUGCGGGGUAAAGGCCCACCAAGGCAACGAUCCGUAGCGGGUCUGAGAGGAUGAUCCGCCACACUGGGACUGAGACACGGCCCAGACUCCUACGGGAGGCAGCAGUGGGGAAUAUUGCGCAAUGGGGGAAACCCUGACGCAGCGACGCCGCGUGAGCGAAGAAGGCCUUCGGGUUGUAAAGCUCUGUUGCAAGGGACGAAAGAUCAAGGGAAUAACUGCCCUUGAAGUGACGGUACUUACCAGCAAGCCCGGCUAACUACGUGCCAGCAGCCGAC
rnacentral:rRNA from 1 species